UACGGUGGGGGCAAGCGUUGUUCGGAAUUACUGGGCGUAAAGCGUGCGCAGGCGGCGCGUUAAGACAGGUGUGAAAGCCCCGAGCUUAACUUGGGAAUUGCGCUUGUGACUGGCGUGCUGGAGUGUGGCAGAGGGAGGUGGAAUUCCACGUGUAGCAGUGAAAUGCGUAGAGAUGUGGAGGAACACCGAUGGCGAAGGCAGCCUCCUGGGCCAGCACUGACGCUCAUGCACGAAAGCGUGGGGAGCAAACAGG
rnacentral:rRNA from 1 species